rnacentral:rRNA from 1 species
UACGGAGGGCGCAAGCGUUGUUCGGAAUUACUGGGCGUAAAGCGCGUGUAGGUGGCUUGGAAAGUCGGGUGUGAAAUCCCGGAGCUCAACUCCGGAACUGCAUCCGUUACUGCAAAGCUCGAGUCUCGGAGAGGAUGGCGGAAUUCCCGGUGUAGAGGUGAAAUUCGUAGAUAUCGGAAGGAACACCAGUGGCGAAGGCGGCCGUCUGGACGAUGACUGACACUGAGACGCGAAAGCGUGGGGAGCAAACAGG